rnacentral:rRNA from 1 species
UUUUACCUACGGGACGCAGCAGUGAGGAAUAUUGGUCAAUGGGCGGGAGCCUGAACCAGCCACGCCGCGUGAAGGAAGAAGGCGCCAAGCGUCGUAAACUUCUUUUGUCGGGGAACAAAGGGCGCCACGUGUGGCGUUGUGAGUGUACCCGAAGAAAAAGCAUCGGCUAACUCCGUGCCAGCAGCCGCGGUAAUACGGAGGAUGCGAGCGUUAUCCGGAUUUAUUGGGUUUAAAGGGUGCGUAGGCGGUCCGGAAAGUCAGCGGUAAAAGCCCGGGGCUCAACCCCGGCGAGCCGUUGAAACUGU